UACGUAGGGGGCAAGCGUUGUCCGGAUUUAUUGGGCGUAAAGAGCGUGUAGGCGGCUGGGUAGGUCCGCUGUGAAAACUCGAGGCUCAACCUCGAGAGGUCGGUGGAAACCAUCCAGCUAGAGUCCGGAAGAGGAGAGUGGAAUUCCUGGUGUAGCGGUGAAAUGCGCAGAUAUCAGGAAGAACACCUAUGGCGAAGGCAGCUCUCUGGGACGGUACUGACGCUGAGACGCGAAAGCGUGGGGAGCGAACAGG
rnacentral:rRNA from 1 species